CAUAGUUCAAAUUAUAAUUACUUUCAAUAAACAUGCAGAAAGUCAUUUAAACCGUCGAAAAUAGUAAAUGAGUUUGAAAAUUAUCAAAACUUCUACAAGACAAAUUAUAUGUAGUCUAUUAUAUUUAGAAAAUAUAUUAGUGUAUAUAAAAUAAUUAUUUUUAUAUGUUACUUCACAAUGGUGCAAUAAAAUGGGAAAAGAAAAAGAAAAAUAUUAAAUGGGCCGAAACACUACCUAGGGUCGUUUUCAAUCAGAGCCCAACUUCUCCCGACCGUCCAUCUCCGAUCCAACAACUCAGAUCGAUCCAUAGAUGUAUAAAUAGGCCAGCAAACCCUAGUACCAGCCUCUCUCCCAUCCCCUUUCCCUCCCUCCCUCGCAUCCCUCCUCAGAUCCCGCCGCCCCUCCGCAUCCUCCGCUGCUGCCGCUUCUCCAGAUUCAAGCGCCGCGCCCGCCGUCCCCCUCUACUCCCACGCCCUUGCCGAUUCGCUCGUCACCGCCGCUCCUCGUUGACCAAGGGUGUGGGUGCGGCCGCAUCCUCGUCGGUCCCUCCCUAUGAGCGCGUGUUGGGGCUGGGGGCCAUGGUUGCCUUCCUGCUCUUGGUGGUGAUGCUGCCGGUGGCCGGACUGCACGCGGAGGUGGGGAGACGGGCGGUGUUCGCCAAGCUCAGCGAUGGCGGCCGCGCCUCGGGUGAGGUCGUGUCCUCACCUCACCCGCCCUCCUCCUCGCCAUCCCUGCCCGGCGCCAAACCAUGGGGGCAGGCCUAGGUCCGACAGCCUCCUCGGCUUCGUACUGCAAGGCGGCGCUGUAGGGAGCGGGCCGCUCGAGCCAGGCCGGCGCGUGCGUGCCACUCGCCCGCGCCUGAGCCGCUCGCCUGCCUGUUCGUGAGCGCAUGGGCCUGCUCGCCCCUUCCACGCAAGCCUUAGGCCUGCUCGCCUGCUCGGGUGCCGUCCAGGCAAGUGGAUCCCUCUGAUUUUUUUGUUCCCCAUUCAAUUCAAGCCAUUUUACUUCACUUGCACCUCUACUGGAAGCAAAAUCCCUCACGAUUUCUUCUCAAAUGUGCAGUACACGACUGGGAUCUAUGGUCUUUUCUUGGUCAGAGGUGCAAAGUCAAGUUCCUAGUGCUCAGAUCUAUUUUUUCUUGCAUACUAGUUCAUUUUCAUUUAGAACCCGGAGAGUAAAAUGUUUACUUCUUUAUGCAGAAUUGCAGAUCUUUUCCCCCUGACUCUUUCCCUCUCUGAUAUGUCACCCAGUAGGAUUCAUUUGUGCUGCUGUGGUAAAGAAAUGAAGAAAAACCUUUCCUUAAAUCCCUGUAUGCAUGUUCCUUUCGAUUUCAUAGUGUGUAUAUCUGAUUGGUGAUUUUGUUCUCUUUUUACUACGUAUUUUGGAUGCCACUGAUGCCGUGUGAACAAACUGAGCCUAUGUUAUUUUUCAGUUUUCACUUUUGUAGCAUUUCUAUAGAUGGCUUUUGAAGUAAAUAAUUUCUCCACUUCUAUAGAUGCAUUUUGAACAAUCUGAGCAUUUGUUUUGAACAAUAGAACCUGAAUUUCUAUCUACUGCAUCUGGUCUAUCGCAAAACAUUGCUCCACGAACUAGUAUAUGUUCUCUGGUUAAGUGAUUCCAUUUACCUGAUAGCAGUUAUUUACAAAUAAUUAUAGAUUGUUUUAGACCUUGUGUUUUUAUUUCCACUAUCAAAUGCACAUGCUUUAUCUUCGGUGAGUGAGAUUACUGUCAGAUAGUGUUCUUGAACAUUGAUAUAUUUUGGAUCUAUACUUGUAACAUGAUUACAGCAAGUUUUUUCUGAAACUAUAGGUUUAUUUGUUGGCUGAGGGAUAUAACUAGAGCUUUAUUUCCUUUUUCUCUUAUAAAUGAAUAAAUGAGUUUUAUUUGUGAAUAUGACUAGUGGAGAGUUUAUGUUCAAAAUUCACCUUAGCAGCUAUGUCACUUUAUUUGGACUUAAAUCUGAUGAGAUGACUGAACUAAUCAUAAGUAUUUCUUUUCCCUUGUCAAGUUGCAUUACUACCGAGCAAGCUGAGCGUGAAAACCUAUGUGAUCUAUUGUUGGUGUUGCAGGUCUUGUUGGUGCUCUCGAACAUUUGCUCCUUUGCUUCUGGAAUCAAAUUGCUACUUGUAUUAGGUGCUUGGAUUUUUGGUGCUGUAGGUCCUGCUGGUGUGUAUUUUAGGUUGUUGUAUCUCUUUUCAAUGUAAACAUGAGAUUGUAUCUCUUAUUUUGGGCUGCUAAAAUUUUAUAUGUAUUUUAGGCUGUAAUGAUCAUUCUAGUGUAAAUUGGAUUGAAUUGAUGAGCUCAAUUUUUAAUGGGCCUGUUUUGUGGGCUUUGAUUUGAUAGUGGGUAAAAAA